rnacentral:misc_RNA from 1 species
AGAGAGAGAGAGAGAGAGAAUUUGAUUGCUGGCUUGUCAUAGAUGCUUGAUGUUGAUAUCGAUGUCUUCAUGAUGUAGCAAGAGUAUCUUGUCAAUUUUUUUUGUCUUCUUGGUAUCUUAGAAGAAACAAGAAAUAGAUUCCUCAUGUUAAUGUGAAUAGUUAGGCACUUUCUAACAAAUAAUUGUGGCCAAAAGUAAUGAUUUUCCUGCAACUGAUCAAUCACAAGUAACACAAGUACGAGAUAUGAAAGAGUUUACAACAUACUGACCCUUUUUUGCUAGCGUUGCAGGGUAUUGGACCAAGGGUAUUAU